CCCGCCCACCGGCCGGGGAGACCUAGUGCGCAUGCGCGGCAAUGCCGCACAUGCGAAGCAAUGCCGCACAUGCGCAUUAGAGCUUUCCAAUGGGGAAUUGAGCAACGCUGGAGGUCCUCACACAGUGUGAGGACAUCCAGCGACGCUCUAGCACAAAAAACCUGUGCUAUAGACACGGAAGUGCCCUCUAGUGGCUGUCUAGUAGACAGCCACUAGAGGUGGAGUUAACCCUGCAAGGUAAUUAUUGCAG